rnacentral:rRNA from 1 species
AUUGAACGCUGGCGGAAUGCUUUACACAUGCAAGUCGAACGGCAGCACGGACUUCGGUCUGGUGGCGAGUGGCGAACGGGUGAGUAACAUAUCGGAACGUAUCCAAUAAUGGGGGAUAACGAGUCGAAAGAUUCGCUAAUACCGCAUACGCCCUACGGGGGAAAGCUGGGGACCUUUGGGCCUGGCGUUAAAGGAGCGGCCGAUAUCUGAUUAGCUAGUUGGUGAGGUAAAGGCUCACCAAGGCGACGAUCAGUAGCUGGUCUGAGAGGACGACCAGCCACACUGGAACUGAGACACGGUCCAGACUCCUACGGGAGGCAGCAGUGGGGAAUUUUGGACAAUGGGCGCAAGCCUGAUCCAGCCAUUCCGCGUGAGUGAAGAAGGCCUUCGGGUUGUAAAGCUCUUUCGCAAGGGAAGAAAGCUUAGCCACUAACAUUGGUUGAGGUUGACGGUACCUUGAUAAGAAGCACCGGCUAACUACGUGCCAGCCGCCGCGGUAACAC